UACGUAGGGCGCAAGCGUUAUCCGGAAUUAUUGGGCGUAAAGAGCUCGUAGGCGGUUUGUCGCGUCUGCCGUGAAAGUCCGGGGCUCAACUCCGGAUCUGCGGUGGGUACGGGCAGACUAGAGUGAUGUAGGGGAGACUGGAAUUCCUGGUGUAGCGGUGAAAUGCGCAGAUACCAGGAGGAACACCGGUGGCGAAGGCGGGUCUCUGGGCCGAUACUGACGCUGAGGAGCGAAAGCGUGGGGAGCGAACAGG
rnacentral:rRNA from 1 species